AACGCAUAUUGCGCUCUCUGGUAUUCCGGAGAGCAUGCUUGUUUGAGUAUCAGUAAACACCUCAAAUCCACUCUUCUUUUGAAAUGAGUGAGUUUGGACUUGAGCAAUCCCAACGCUUCUCAAGAGCGGCGGGUUGCUUGAAAUGCAGGUGCAGCUGGACUUUUCUCUGAGCUAAAAGCAUAUCUAUUUAGUCCGCCUAAAAACCGGAUUAUUACUUUUGCUGCAGCUAACAUAAAGGAGAAUCGUUCUUAUGCUGACUGAUGCAGGAUUAACAAAGAACGCUUCGGCAACCUUUGUAAACUCGAUCUCAAAUCAAGUAAGACUACCCGCUGAACUUAA
rnacentral:misc_RNA from 1 species